rnacentral:rRNA from 1 species
UCCCAGACUCCUACGGGAGGCAGCAGUGGGGAAUAUUGCACAAUGGGGGGAACCCUGAUGCAGCGACGCCGCGUGGGUGAAGGAGUACUUCGGUACGUAAAGCCCUAUCAGCAGGAAAGAAAAUGACGGUACCUGAAGAAGAAGCCCCGGCUAACUACGUGCCAGCAGCCGCGGUAAUACGUAGGGGGCAAGCGUUAUCCGGGUUUACUGGGUGUAAAGGGGGCGCAGACGGCGAUGCAAGCCAGGAGUGAAAGCCCGGGGCCCAACCCCGGGACUGCUCUUGGAGCUGCGUGGCUGGAGUGCAGGAGGGGCAGGCGGAAUUCCUGGUGUAGCGGUGAAAUGCGUAGAUAUCAGGAGGAACACCGGUGGCGAAGGCGGCCUGCUGGACUGCAACUGACGUUGAGGCCCGAAAGCGUGGGGAGCGAACAGGAUUAGAUACCCCCGUAUA